GCCAUUUUAGCUCAGUAGGUAGAGCGCAUCCAUGGUAAGGAUGAGGUCCUCAGUUCGAUUCUGGGAAGUGGCUCCA
rnacentral:tRNA from 1 species